rnacentral:misc_RNA from 1 species
AUUACUGCGCCGUGCCUGCAGGCCAUUUGGCUUGCAGGUGUAGCCAGCCAACCCUUGUUUACUGUCACCAUUUGUAAAUCCCUCGGCAGGGACGCCUGCCGUUGGAAUUCUAUUAAACCUACUGUUAUGAAAGCAUUAAAAUCAGAAACUCACAAAAUUAUUA